rnacentral:tRNA from 1 species
GCCCGGGUGGCGAAACUGGUAGACGCAUGGGACUUAAAAUCCCCCGGCCGCAAGGCCAUGUGGGUUCGACCCCCACCCCGGGCA